rnacentral:rRNA from 1 species
CGAGUUAUCUGAACCUUCGGGGGACGAUAACGGCGUCGAGCGGCGGACGGGUGAGUAAUGCCUAGGAAAUUGCCCUGAUGUGGGGGAUAACCAUUGGAAACGAUGGCUAAUACCGCAUAAUACCUACGGGUCAAAGAGGGGGACCUUCGGGCCUCUCGCGUCAGGAUAUGCCUAGGUGGGAUUAGCUAGUUGGUGAGGUAAUGGCUCACCAAGGCGACGAUCCCUAGCUGGUCUGAGAGGAUGAUCAGCCACACUGGAACUGAGACACGGUCCAGACUCCUACGGGAGGCAGCAGUGGGGAAUAUUGCACAAUGGGCGCAAGCCUGAUGCAGCCAUGCCGCGUGUGUGAAGAAGGCCUUCGGGUUGUAAAGCACUUUCAGUCGUGAGGAAGGUAGUGUAGUUAAUAGCUGCAUUAUUUGACGUUAGCGACAGAAGAAGCACCGGCUAACUCCGUGCCAGCAGCCGCGGUAAUACGGAGGGUGCGAGCGUUAAUCGGAAUUACUGGGCGUAAAGCGCAUGCAGGUGGUUUGUUAAGUCAGAUGUGAAAGCCCGGGGCUCAACCUCGGAAUAGCAUUUGAAACUGGCAGACUAGAGUACUGUAGAGGGGGGUAGAAUUUCAGGUGUAGCGGUGAAAUGCGUAGAGAUCUGAAGGAAUACCGGUGGCGAAGGCGGCCCCCUGGACAGAUACUGACACUCAGAUGCGAAAGCGUGGGGAGCAAACAGGAUUAGAUACCCUGGUAGUCCACGCCGUAAACGAUGUCUACUUGGAGGUUGUGGCCUUGAGCCGUGGCUUUCGGAGCUAACGCGUUAAGUAGACCGCCUGGGGAGUACGGUCGCAAGAUUAAAACUCAAAUGAAUUGACGGGGGCCCGCACAGCGUGGAGCAUGUGUUAAUUCGAUGCACGCGAGACUUACUACUCUGACAUCCAGAGACUUCAGAGAUGAUGUGCUCCGGGACUCUGAACAGUGCUGCAUGGCUGUCGUCCAGCUCGGUUGUGAAAUGGUAGGAUAAGUCGCAACGAGCCAAUCCGUAUCUGAUGCAGGCAAUCGGUGACUCAGAACUGCCGUGAUAACCG